UCCUUGGCAGUCAGUAGUUAAGACUCUGCACUCCCAAUGCAGGGGACCCAGGUUCAAUCCCUAGUCAAGGAA
rnacentral:tRNA from 1 species